rnacentral:rRNA from 1 species
AUUGAACGCUGGCGGCAGGCCUAACACAUGCAAGUCGAACGAGUGGCGGACGGGUGAGUAAUGUCUGGGGAACUGCCCGAUGGAGGGGGAUAACUACUGGAAACGGUAGCUAAUACCGCAUACCAUCGGAUGUGCCCAUAUGGGAUUAGCUGGUAGGUGGGGUAAUGGCUCACCUAGGCGACGAUCCCUAGCUGGUCUGAGAGGAUGACCAGCCACACUGGAACUGAGACACGGUCCAGACUCCUACGGGAGGCAGCAGGGGGGAAUAUUGCACAAUGGGCGCAAGCCUGAUGCAGCCAUGCCGCGUGGAUGAAGAAGGCCUUCGGGUUGUAAAGUACUUUCAGCGGGGAGGCGUUACCCGCAGAAGAAGCACCGGCUAACUCCGUGCCAGCAGCCGCGGUAAUAC